GGUCUGCCAAUGAAAAUUACACUGAACCCAGGCGGGCCAGGACAGCCAAUGAAAAUCAGUGCAGAAUCCCAUGCUUGCUGGGGUAUCUGUCGGUCUAAGAUGGCGCCUUCCCAGAGGGAUCGGCCAGAGACCGCGUGACGAGCCAACAGCAGCAGAGUGCACGGUGACGGCAGCCUGGCUCGCUCGCUCGCUUUCCUUCGCCUUUUGGGUAUUGCUGAGACGGUGGACGAUCUCUUUCACGUGACGGAAAACCACAAAGGAAACAAAACAAAAACAAAAAUCCAACCUCCCCAGCGGGAGGGAGAGCGCAGGGUGUGUGACUCGCUCCCUGACCUUCUGCCACUCAACUGAAGCAAAGCACAACCUGGCCACGGCCAGCCAGACGCCUCUCCCUUUCAAGUGGCAGAGCCCGAUUCUCCUUUGGGUGCCUCAGCCCCAAAGAGCAACCAUGCUGAGUUGAGCUCAGAUUUCUCCAGGGCCUUGUCUAUGUAACUCACUGGUUACAGGUCCCCCGCUGUGCUCAGGGCACCUGUUACAGCCCUACCUCGGGAGCUGCAGCUCAUGUUUAUAGCUUUGUAAGUCCCCACUGCAACCCCUGGGGUGUUGGCCAGGACAGCUACACUGGCUGUAAGUCACCGCUGGUGGUAGCCACGGGGGAGAGGGCUCAGAUGUCUUUGCCCUGUGUUGCCUGACUGCUCUUAACAGUGCACCAGUAGGGCACUGGAGAACCUGACACUGCAGGCCUGUCUCUCCCUAGCUGCCACUGGUCCCUGUUUGAACUGGGAUGGCGACAGGAUAUUGACAAAAA
rnacentral:lncRNA from 1 species